UGAACGGCUGGUGAGCACUGAGCAGUUGAGGGAGGCGGAGAGCAGAUUCAGAGAAAGAAUGAGAGAGGGCCUGAGAGGCGGACUGGUGGAGAAACCGAGAGCUUGAGCAGUUGAGAGAGGCGGUCCAGGCUUGCUGCCUUGCUUCAGUUGCUUGAGCAGAUGAGAAGUGAACAGUGGAGUGGAGAGAAUCAGAGAGAAUGAGAGACAGAGAGAGGCGGAGAGCAGAGAGAAAGGCGUUCUUUCUGCGAUGUAGGAUUGGCUUUUCAUAGAUGAAUCAAUGUAAUCUGUAAUAUUGGUUGUUGGAGGUAAAGAGAUUAGAGGCUCUAUCUCUGAUCUGAAGGGACCCUAUGGUUUACCCCAAGCCUCGGUGAGUUGUGGUUUUGGCUAACAAUCCAUUGAGGUCCUUGAGAUGGCACAAGACAGUCAUCAAGCAGAGGAUUGUGAUUCCAAGGCUGCAGCAGAGCAAGGGUGAGUUGUGUUCUUCGUGUUUGCUUUGAUUUCAAGUUUAAAUGCUUAAAAAUUUUAAUAUAUGAAGAAGGGGCUUGGUUUUUCUUGUAUAUAUAAAAAAAAGUGAAAGAUUCUACCUACAGUGAUUUAGUGAUUUUUUGGUUUAGUCAAUGCAAAACUCACCUUUUCAUUACUUCUUUUAUUUGGUUCACAAAUGUCCAAAACUCAAUGUUUUUGCAUGGGAAAGAAAAGCAAGUCUGAGGCGGGCAAAGAGCAAGAUGCAUCUUCUUCUUCUGACAGACUCAACAGAGGGAUAAGCUUGAGCUGAGUACGUGUAAUGCAAUCGGAGAGGAUAGCGCUUCACUUUCAACACGAUCUUUAGGUUUAAGAAAAAUAAAGGGAUUCGUUUGCUCACAUAAUAAAAUGCACAGUUUUGGAAAGAAAAACGGAGAGAGAUGGGAUAGCACAGGGAGAUAUGAGAUGGAAAGCUUAUGUGGUGCCACGUGUAUAUCUCUCACUGUCUCACUGUCUCACUUUUCUGAUUUUUCCCUCUCUUGAAAUGCCCAAAUGGGCAAAUCCUUCUUCUCAUUCUCUUAUUUCCCUCCUAAAAUCCUCAGGUGUCUCUCUGUUUCUGUGCAGUAGAUUUACACAGUUUCACAUGAUUAGAAGUUCAGGGUAGUUCAAACUUUGGAGAAUAGAACAAUUUUUAGCGCUACUGAGUGAUUUAAUAUAUAUAUAUAUAUAUAUAUAUAUUCCCCCUUUUGUUGGAGUUUUUUUUUUUUU